AGGCUCAUAAGGAAGCUUAGCUCGGCAUAAAGCCAAUCUCAUUAGAAGGAUGAAAGCUGAGCUCAUCAAAAUAUCAACCUCAACAGAAAGGUCAAUAGAGGCUCAUCAAGAAGCCUAGCUCAGCAUAAAGCAGACCUCAUUAGAAGAAUGAAGACUGAGCUCAUGAAAAAGCCGACUUCAUCAGGAGGUUGAGCUCAUCAGAAAACUGACCUCAUUAGAAAGUC
rnacentral:lncRNA from 1 species